GAUGAACGCUGGCGGCGUGCCUAAUACAUGCAAGUAGAACGCUGAAGGAAGGAGCUUGCUCUUUCCGGAUGAGUUGCGCACGGGUGAGUAACGCGUAGGUAACCUGCCUGGUAGCGGGGGAUAACUAUUGGAAACGAUAGCUAAUACCGCAUAACAGUAGAUGUUGCAUGAUAUCUACUUAAAAGGUGCAAUUGCACCACUACCAGAUGGACCUGCGUUGUAUUAGCUAGUUGGUGAGGUAACGGCUCACCAAGGCGACGAUACAUAGCCGACCUGAGAGGGUGAUCGGCCACACUGAGACUGGGACACGGCCCAGACUCCUACGGGAGGCAGCAGUAGGGAAUCGUCGGCAAUGGACGGAAGUCUGACCGAGAAACGCCGCGUGAGUGAAGAAGGUUUUCGGAUCGUAAAGCUCUGUUGUAAGAGAAGAACGAGUGUGAGAGUGGAAAGUUCACACUGUGACGGUAUCUGACCAGAAAGGGACGGCUAACUACGUG
rnacentral:rRNA from 1 species